rnacentral:rRNA from 1 species
AAUUCGAUUGAGUUUGAUCCUGGCUCAGGACGAACGCUGGCGGCGUGCUUAACACAUGCAAGUCGAACGAGAACGCUCCUUCGGGAGUUAGUACAGUGGCGAACGGGUGAGUAACACGUGGGCAACCUGCCCUAGGGAGCGGGACAACCCGAGGAAACUCGGGCUAAUACCGCAUAAUUCGUAAGGCCUCAAGACCUUACGGGAAAUGGUAGCUUCGGCCUCCGCCCUGGGAUGGGCCCGCGGCGCAUUAGCUUGUUGGUGUGGGUAACGGCCCACCAAGGCGACGAUGCGUAGCUGGUCUGAGAGGACGAUCAGCCACACUGGGACUGAGACACGGCCCAGACUCCUACGGGAGGCAGCAGUGGGGAAUCUUGCGCAAUGGGCGGAAGCCUGACGCAGCAACGCCGCGUGUGGGAAGACGGCUUUCGGGUUGUAAACCACUUUCAGGGGGGACGAAGCUUCCGAGGUUAAUAGCCUACGGGGUGACGGUACCCCCAGAAGAAGCCCCGGCUAACUACGUGCCAGCAGCCGCGGUAAUACGUAGGGGGCGAGCGUUGUCCGGAAUCAUUGGGCGUAAAGCGCGUGUAGGCGGCUUGAUAAGUCUGGUGUGAAAUCUUGGGGCUCAACCCCAAACCUGCACUGGAUACUGUCAAGCUUGAGUCCGGGAGGGGAGAGCGGAAUUCCUAGUGUAGCG